rnacentral:rRNA from 1 species
AUGUCUGCUGGCUCCGCGCCGUGCAUCGUCCCGCAGCCAGCCCCGUCUAUUGCUCGAUCCCAUCUGGAUCGGGCCCCGCCGGCGCUGAGCCGCUCCGUCCAUGCUGUUGGCGGGUCAGGGAAGGUGCCGGUGGUGUCCUCGAGCAAGUUGGUUGCGCCUGUGCGUGCGCCCGCGCAGGCCUCUGCUGCGUCGAUCUUGGAGGGCCCGGAGGGGAUGUGCUCCCUCGUCGCCCCGCCACCGCAUCUCGGCUCGGGUCGGCCAGAUUCUGAGUCAUGGACCUCUCUCGCCGCUGACGGCGACGACGAUGAUGAAGAGGAGCCGGCCCCUAUGACACCGCCUGCUGCCAAGGCCUCGGCCCCAGUCGCUGCUCUGCCGGACGUGGUGGUGAAGGCGAGCGAGGGAUGGCAGGAGGUGUUGCCCCGGCGUGGUCCGCGUCACCCGACGUCGCUAGCCCAUGCAAUGGCUCCCCGUCCAAUCCCUGCUUGGCUGCACGGUAGAUGUUGCAGAUGCUUCGCUCCUGGGCAUCGUGCGGCCGAUUGCAGAGAUCCGCUUCGGUGCUCCCGUUGCUUGCAGAAUGGUCAUUGUGCUCGCAUAUGCCGCAAUCCUUGGCGUCCUCUAAGUUCUUUGGCAUGUCUUGCCAUGCCUCCAGUGCUCGGUUCCAUGCGCCAUCCUGCUCUAGCUUCAUGUAAGGAUGCAAUGAAAUCCGUGCUCCCUUCCAAGGCGAUUCACCAUGGGUCUUGGGCGUCUGUCAUCUCUGCUACCGUUGGCUCAGCAACCGCACCCGAUAUGAUGUUGCGGUCCUCUCUGGCUGAUCAGACAACAUUGUUGCAGAGUUGUCUGGCACGGGUUCAGAGCUUUCUCGAGCGGGCGGAGGCUGCUCUUAGCAGGCUCUCCCUUCCACCGGCUAGGUCGCAAACCACUCUGAUGUCAUGCCCUUCUGGUGUGGAAGAUGUUGGCUCUAUGGAGGAAGGGAGGCAAGAGUUAUAUGGAUGUUUCUCCUCUCGUGUUGAGAACGGUUCAUCGUCACUCUCAGGCGAGUCCAUUGUCGUGCUUGAAACUCCAGUGUUGCAGGUCAUGCCCGAGCUACGAGAGCUAUGUCUUUGCCCUGGUUCGCCUCUCUCUGUAGAGCAUUUGGAGGUGGUCUCAUCGGCGGCAUCGUGUGAGGGGCAUGUGUUGCCAAAGUCAUGUGAGCAACUGAAGGUGCCUGAGUCCAUCGUGUUGGCGCUUCCUGUGGUUGAUGAGGUUGCGUCGGUGAUUCCUUUGGUUGAGGUUGUUGAUGCGGUCAGUGUGUUGAUGUCGGCUCCUGGCAGCGUCUUGGUUGAUGACAACGAAACUAAGAAAUUCAAUGAGUUUUAUGAUUUUCUUGACAAAUGGGUGGCUCAUCAGCCGACAUCUGGCAAGACAAGUGACCCUCCAAAGAAGAAGUCAACUAAGGAGAAACCAAAGAAGAAGAAAAACAAGAAGUGUGGCGCCAUCCGAAAGGCGUCUGUGAGUUCAUAA